CGACGUAAAGAAACUUGCCUCACAGCUAGGGACGAAAUUUAGAAAUGAAUGCUAAUACCUGAUAUUAUGAUUUUAAGGCAUCUUAGAAUUAUGAAAGCUAUAAGCACUGUGAGAGAGCUUUGCGUCCCAUUAGCUAGUUGGAGAGGUAACAGCUCACCAAGGCGAUGAUGGGUAGCCGGCCUGAGAGGGUGAACGGCCACAAGGGGACUGAGACACGGCCCUU
rnacentral:rRNA from 1 species